GAUGAACGCUGGCGGCGUGCCUAAUACAUGCAAGUCGAGCGAACAGACGAGGAGCUUGCUCCUCUGACGUUAGCGGCGGACGGGUGAGUAACACGUGGAUAACCUACCUAUAAGACUGGGAUAACUUCGGGAAACCGGAGCUAAUACCGGAUAAUAUAUUGAACCGCAUGGUUCAAUAGUGAAAGACGGUUUUGCUGUCACUUAUAGAUGGAUCCGCGCCGCAUUAGCUAGUUGGUAAGGUAACGGCUUACCAAGGCAACGAUGCGUAGCCGACCUGAGAGGGUGAGCGGCCACACUGGAACUGAGACACGGUCCAGACUCCUACGGGAGGGAGCAGUAUGGAAUCUUCCGCGAUGGGCGAAAGCCUGACGGAGCAACGCCGCGUGAGUGAUGAAGGUCUUCGGAUCGUAAAACUCUGUUAUUAGGGAAAAACAAAAGUGUAAGUAACUAUGCACGUCUUGACGGUACCUAAUCAGAAAGCCACGGCUAACUACGUG
rnacentral:rRNA from 1 species